rnacentral:rRNA from 1 species
UACAGAGGGUGCAAGCGUUAAUCGGAAUUACUGGGCGUAAAGCGUGCGUAGACGGUUGCGUAAGUCAGAUGUGAAAUCCCCGGGCUCAACCUGGGAAUUGCAUUCGAUACUGGAUAGCUAGAGUUCGGCAGAGGGAAGCGGAAUUUCUGGUGUAGCGGUGAAAUGCGUAGAUAUCAGAAGGAACAUCAGUGGCGAAAGCGGCUUCCUGGACCAGAACUGACGAUCAGGCUCGAAAGCGUGGGGAGCAAACAGG